GUUAAGGAGUUUGCUGUGAGUGGAGUGCAGUUUGGGACUGUAGUUUCCUUAAAUGUUUGUUACAAAUACUUUGGUUGCGUCGCCCAGCUUAGAUAUUGUAGUCAUCAACCAAUGGUUGCAUGCCACGUCCCCGACGGUGCCAUCGGGCACCAGGUUGCUAUAACAUACCGUAUGAUGUAGUUAGGUGAUGCGGAAAAAACUAAUCCAGGUGUUAUAAGAUCUGAUAUGACUCAGCAACUGUCUCACACCCGGUAUCAGGACAGGACAGGCAGCAUUCCAUUCCAUGUACUGACACCUGUAGGUCAGGUGAUACAAAAAGGAAGAUGUGGAUCACUAACAUAAACAUUGAUUGGUCAAAAUGAGAAUGACGUUAUAAAUGGGCCAAUGGGGAAAAGUAGGUGGAAGGUGGGUAUACUCUAGCCUGACAGUGAACCGAAUGACACAAACAUGAACGAGAUGCCAAGUGAAGACACAAGCGUAACAUUUUUGUUUUCAAUGGCAAACAAAAAUCCACAAUCGAACUUGGAAAUGCCAAGCCUUCUGGAGCAACCUAAAAGUGUUGUGAUGGCUCCCUUUCCUAAGAAGAGGCCCCUGUCUAAGGGGAGUGAUGUGAACUCUCCCAGCAACACAGACAGUUCUUCUGAUAGAUGCCCUCCUGAGGAGGAUGUGGCUGCUAAAUCAACCAGAUCCCAGAGUGAGGAGAAUGAGAACCACCAAUGUAAGAAGAGGCACCUAUCACUGUCUGAGGGAGGGGAUCCUGAUGAUGUGAACCCUUCCACCAACACAAACAUUUUAUCGAACGGAGGGCCUCCUGAGGAGGAUAUGGAUGCCAAUUCAACCAGUAAGGGGAUUGAGAUCCCGCAGAGAGGAAGCCCCAGUCCUGCUAUCAUCAACGUUCCAGCUCUGUCAAUGGACCUCCCAAAUCAAGUUGAAAACAAAUUACGUGAUACAUUUUACCUUCUACAAACAAAAGAUUGCAUUCAUCUUAAAGUUACAUGGGCAUUCUUAAAGUCAACUGGUGAUGUGUUUGUUGCAAUUCUGGAACUUAACAAUAUAGAGAAUAUGGAAAACAAACCUCGAAUAAUUAUUAGUCAUAUCAAAGAGUUACUUCUUGAGGAAACAAAAAUAAUGUUGGAAAACGAAGAGCAAUUGCAAAAUACAACAUUUUCUAUAUAUUCGCUCCACUCUCCUUCGCAAAUUACAGGUCAUAAAAUAACGGAUUUAGCAGAACUGAACAAGUAUGGCAUAACAACGAUUUUUACAGACUGUCGGACGGAAAUCCAAAACAUCCCAAAUCAUUUUAAAAACAUUUCUGAAUUUCUUGAUAAGUUCUACUCAUUACAAACAAAGGGUUGCAAGCAAAAGUUUGAUACGCAACAUGCAUGGGCAUUUAUAGAGUCACCUUGUGGUGGAGAACCGGUUUCUGUUGGUUUAUUUAAAUUAGAAGAUUGCAAGAAGAUGGGUAAGGGCAAACAUUUAAAUAUUCAUACCGAAAAGUUACUUCUUGAGGAAGUAAAACAAAUAUUGAAAAACAAUGAGAAAUUGCGAAAUACUAAAUUGUUUAUCUAUACGCUCAAUUCUCCUUGUUUGCGAAAUUCAGGUCAUGAGUCAUGCAUGGAUUUACUGAUUAAGGAUUCAGCAGAACUGUACAAAUCUUAUGGUAUAAAAACUAUUGUUGGAUACAGCAAAUGGUACGGUUUGACUGGAAAGUUGACAACCUUUGUAGAUCCAUAUAUCAGCUCAUUCAAUCACUUUAAUUUGAUAAUCAGUAGUCCUACUUAUGAAAACUAUUGUGACAAAUUUGCCAUUUUUAACACUGAGUAUAACAAUAAGAAAAGCCAUGACUCUAAAUCUAAUUUUGAAGACAGAGAACUUACCGAGAAACUUUAUGAUUCGAGUAAACUAUUUCUGCCCAACAACAUUUCAGAAGUAGCUUUCAGAUUGCAAACUCAUAAAGACAUCCAUAGGCAUGUGACAAAUAAAUUUAUGUCAAUUAGCAAUUAUCAUAAAACAAAUGUGAAAACCGAUGAGAAAAAAAGUCUUGACCUACAUUUUUCCAUACCCCAUUUUAGAACUCUUAAUCAAUUCCAAAAAGUUGGAGAGUAUCUAGCUGAAAAAUUUGACUUGAUAAAACACAUUGGUAAUAACUUAGAUCGAUCUAAAGUACAUUUCAUAAAAUGGUGGACUAAAACAAUUGAGGACGAAUAUACUACUUUUCUUCGAGUUUCCAUUAAUAGACAUCUCAGUGAAUAUAAACACAGAAUCACAGUCCUCGAUCACAUCAAGAAAAACCCUGCAGAAUAUUUACAGUUUUGUCACUUACCACUAAGCCCUUUCCACAAACUAUUUAAUUAA
rnacentral:lncRNA from 13 species